rnacentral:rRNA from 1 species
CCUACGGGUGGCAGCAGUGAGGAAUAUUGGUCAAUGGCCGUAAGGCUGAACCAGCCAAGCCGCGUGAAGGAAGACGGAUCUAUGGUUUGUAAACUUCUUUUAUAGGGGGAUAAAGGUAUCCACGUGUGUAUAUUUGCAUGUACCCUAUGAAUAAGGAUCGGCUAACUCCGUGCCAGCAGCCGCGGUAAUACGGAGGAUGCAAGCGUUAUCCGGAUUUAUUGGGUUUAAAGGGUGCGUAGGUUGUCGUUUAAGUCAGCGGUGAAAGUUUGUGGCUCAACCUCAAAAUUGCCUGUGAUACUGGAAGACUAGAGAGUAGUUGCGGUAGGCGGAAUGUGUGGUGUAGCGGUGAAAUGCUUAGAGAUCACGCAGAACUCCGAUUGCGAAGGCAGCUUACUAAGCUAUUACUGACAUUGAAGCACGAAAGCGUGGGGAGCAAACAGGAUUAGAUACCCUAGUAGUC